AUGUCUGACGACGAAAGGGAAUUCGCUAUGUGCGACUACUGCAAAGAUGAGCGCGGUCUGUGCGACAUGCCUCACUUGGUAGAAGGUCGGCGCUUCAGCAUCAAGCUCCAAGAGACCUUCGAUGUUGAAACGCUUAUCCCAUGCCAUGCAAGACGCUAUGUCUUGGAGAAGAUGGGUUUUGAAGAUCAUGAAAGAAUGGAGACAAAGAUAAUUCAACUAAGGACCCAUCAUGGUUAUGAUUUUGCUGUAAAUCUAUACAAUUCUGUGAACUCAUCCAAUUUUGGUUGCCUGAAUUGGGAAGCCCUUUGCAAGGCAUAUGAUUUUCAUGAGGGUAUGCUUUUCACCUUCGAUCUUGGUGAUCCUGACAUCGACGAAAAUGAUAUGACCAUUUGGGUCCUUGUUGACACGCUUCCAGUUCUACCGCUGUCUUAUUUUCAUUCUUCAAAAAAUGUACGGAAAAUGCUAGAGAGAACCUACUACUACAAUGAUGAAGCACAAUUAACUUAUAAGGAGCAAGAUGGUCUUAUCGCAUUUUUUACUGAUAUUGAGAAUUACAAUAGCUAUUAUCAAACUCCUCCACAUUAUGGUCAAUACGUGCCACUAGUGCACGUGUUGAACUACGGUAACAUCAAUGGAGAUAUCAUGCUAAGAUUUUCUACUAUUACGACAUCCGUGCAUCUUUUGCAUAAAUUCUUCUAA
rnacentral:rRNA from 1 species